CGGACGGGUGAGUAACGCGUGAGGAUUUGCCUUUAGGAGGGGGACAACAAUUGGAAACGAUUGCUAAUACCCCAUAUGCUUGAGAGUGAAAUAGAUUUAUCUGCCUAAAGAAAAGCUCGCGGCUGAUUAGCUAGUUGGUAAGGUAAUGGCUUACCAAGGCGACGAUCAGUAUCUGGUUUGAGAGGACGAUCAGACACACUGGAACUGAGACACGGUCCAGACUCCUACGGGAGGCAGCAGUGGGGAAUUUUCCGCAAUGGGCGAAAGCCUGACGGAGCAAUACCGCGUGAGGGAAGACGGCCUAUGGGUUGUAAACCUCUUUUUUCAGGGAGGAAUCAAUGACGUGUACCUGAAGAAUAAGCAUCGGCUAACUCCGUGCCAGCAGCCGCGGUAAGACGGAGGAUGCAAGUGUUAUCCGGAAUCACUGGGCGUAAAGCGUCUGUAGGUGGUUUGAUAAGUCAACUGUUAAAUCUUGGGGCUUAACCUCAAAAUCGCAGUCGAAACUAUUAGGCUAGAGUAUAGUAGGGGUAAAGGGAAUUUCCAGUGGAGCGGUGAAAUGCGUAGAGAUUGGAAAGAACACCGAUGGCGAAGGCACUUUACUGGGCUAUUACUGACACUCAGAGACGAAAGCUAGGGUAGCAAAUGGGAUUAGAUACCCCAGUAGUC
rnacentral:rRNA from 1 species